AGCCUGAUCCAGCGACGCCGCGUGACCGAGGAAGAGCCUCUCGGGUCGUAAACCUCUUUCAGCGGGGACUAUAGUGAAGGUACCCGCAGAAGCAGGAGCGGCUAACUACGUGCCAGCAGCCGCGGUAAUACGUAGGCUCCAAGCGUUGUUCGGAAUCACUGGGCGUAAAGCGAGCGCAGGCGGCGCGCCGUGUCGGUCGUGAAAUCUCCCGGCUCAACCGGGAGGGUGCGGCCGAAACUGGCGUGCUAGAGUGCGGCAGGGGAAGGCAGAAUUCCUGGUGUAGCGGUGGAAUGCGUAGAGAUCAGGAGGAAUGCCGGAGGUGAAAACGGCCUUCCGGGCCGCCACUGACGCUGAGGCUCGAAAGCGUGGGGAGCGAACAGGAUUAGAUACCCUGGUAGUCCACGCCCUAAACGAUGCAUACUUGGUGUGGGCCCUUCAGUGGGAUCCGUGCCGGAGCAAACGCAUUAAGUAUGCCGCCUGGGGAGUACGGCCGCAAGGCUGAAACUCA
rnacentral:rRNA from 1 species